rnacentral:rRNA from 1 species
AGAAUCAACGCUGGCGGCGUGCCUAACACAUGCAAGUCGAACGAGAAAGUGGUAGCAAUACCAUGAGUAAAGUGGCGCACGGGUGAGUAACACGUGACUAACCUACCCUUGAGUGGGGGAUAAACUGAGGGAAACCUUAGCUAAUACCGCAUAAUACCCACGGGUCAAAGGAGCAAUUCGCUCGAGGAGGGGGUCGCGGCCGAUUAGUUAGUUGGCGGGGUAAUGGCCCACCAAGACGAUGAUCGGUAUCCGGCCUGAGAGGGCGCACGGACACACUGGAACUGAAACACGGUCCAGACUCCUACGGGAGGCAGCAGUGGGGAAUUUUGCGCAAUGGGGGAAACCCUGACGCAGCAACGCCGCGUGGAGGAUGAAGUCCUUCGGGACGUAAGCUCUUCGAUCGGACGAUUAUGACGGUACCGGAAGAAGAAGCCCCGGCUAACUUCGCGCCAGCAGCCGC